rnacentral:lncRNA from 1 species
CUUCUAACAACUUAUUGUUCUUAUUAUUCUGAUUUUUCUGGACUUGUAAUGUCUUCAGUGACUUUAAUUUGACUUUUCCAUGCUGUGCUCCCGUUGGGCUCUAUUUUUGUUUUUAAAUGUGAGACUGUUCAUGAGACAGGUUUUCCCAAAUGCAGCUAUGCUUAGAAAUCAGUCACUCUCAUGAAUAUUUUCAAUAAUGAGCAUUUGACUACAUCAUAGGCUUAUGGAAACGGUAUGUUAGGUCAUCUUGUGCAACUCACUGCCGGUGCAAGGUUGUUUCCUACAAGAUAUUUUCUGGUGCUUUGUCCUGUCCAGCCUAAAUUAAUAACCCUUAAUUAAUAAUCCUUCUGAGCAUGGUAUUCUUUGUCAUUUAAUUCAAGGAAUUCUCUAUGUGGUAACACUGUACUGGAGUCCUUAUACUUGCAAAAACUUAUUAUCUUAGUCUUUGAGCAAUAUUUUUUUAAAUCUUUACAAUGAAAAAGCCAUUUUUUUCUCAUUGGUGUGUAAUGUCAUAUUUCCUUUGUCUGUCAACAGGGAAAAAAAGAGAGAGUUCAAACUAUUUUGCUACGUUACUAAAAGUCUCCACCGAUUAUUUCAAUCAAAAGCAAAGAAUCGAUCUCCUUCUAGUUCAGAAGACAGUUGGGUCCUCUCUGCAACAUAUUUUGCUGGUGACUCGAUGGUUCCAGAGACUAACAUGGAAAUAUAAAGUCAUAGUGAACCUUGUGACCAUUUUAAAUCUAAUCCAGAAGCAGAUGUUAAGGCCCAGCCUGUUGAUCCUGCGUUCUGCAGCGCAUCCGUGGCAUCCCAGCUUAGAGAGACACCCACCGAUGCCAGGUCCUUCCAGGUAG